rnacentral:rRNA from 1 species
AGAGUUUGAUCAUGGCUCAGGAUCAACGCUGGCGGCGUGCCUAAUGCAUGCAAGUCGAGCGGGGUGACCUUCGGGUCACUUACGCGGCGGACGGGUGCGGAACACGUGGGCAACCUGCCCUGAGGUGGGGGAUAGCCGGUGGAAACACCGGGUAAUUCCGCAUAAGGUCACUGGUCGGAGGACUGGUGAGGAAAGGGUCUUCGGACUCGCCUUGGGAGGGGCCUGCGGCCGAUUAGCUAGACGGUGGGGUAACGGCCUACCGUGGCGAUGAUCGGUAGCUGGUCUGAGAGGACGCCAGCCACACGGGGACUGAGACACGGCCCCGACUCCUACGGGAGGCAGCAGCAAGGAAUCUUCCGCAAUGGGCGAAAGCCUGACGGAGCAACGCCGCGUGUGGGAUGACGCCUUUCGGGGUGUAAACCACUUUUCUCAGGGAAGAAGCACUGACGGUACCUGAGGAAUAAGGACCGGCUAACUACGUGCCAGCAGCCGCGGUAAUACGUAGGGUCCGAGCGUUGUCCGGAGUUACUGGGCGUAAAGCGCGCGCAGGCGGCGGUAUAAGCAUGGCGUGAAAGCCCCAGGCUCAACCUGGGAGGGUCGUCGUGGACUGUACCGCUUGAGGGCGAUAGGGGCUGGUGGAAUGCCUGGUGUAGUGGUGAAAUGCGUAGAGAUCAGGCGGAACACCCGUGGCGAAGGCGGCCAGCUGGGUCGUCCCUGACGCUGAGGCGCGAAGGCGUGGGGAGCGAACGGGAUUAGAUACCCUAGUAGUCC